rnacentral:rRNA from 1 species
UACGUAGGGGGCAAGCGUUAUCCGGAUUUACUGGGUGUAAAGGGAGCGUAGGCGGCGAUGCAAGUCAGAAGUGAAAGCCCGGGGCUCAACUCCGGGACUGCUUUUGAAACUGUGUUGCUAGAUUGCAGGAGAGGUAAGUGGAAUUCCUAGUGUAGCGGUGAAAUGCGUGGAUAUUAGGAGGAACACCAGUGGCGAAGGCGGCUUACUGGACUGUAAAUGACGCUGAGGCUCGAAAGCGUGGGGAGCAAACAGG